rnacentral:rRNA from 1 species
GCCAAACACCUAGCCUAUAGACUUCUGAAUAAACUCACCAUAACAACCCCACAAAAUAAAACAUUAAAACAUUUAAGUAGUGGCGAUCAAAAAAAUUCUAAGAGCUUCAACUUUAGUACCGCAAGGGAAAGGUGAAAGAUAAGUGAAACAAAAUAAAGCACAAAAUAGUAGAGAUUUAAGCUCGUACCUUUUGCAUCAUGGUCUAGCAAGUCUUUGUCAAGCAAAACGAAACUCAAGUUUGACCCCCCGAAACUAAGCGAGCUACUUCAAAAUAGCCUAUAGGGCCAACCCGUCUCUGUAGCAAAAGAGUGGGAAAAUUUUCAAGUAGAGGUGACAAGCCUACCGAGCCUAGAGAUAGCUGGUUAUUCAAGAAAAGAAUUUUAGUUCUACCUUAAGCCCCCACUUGAAUACUAAACAAGUUACAGAGCUUAAGAGCUAUUCAAAUAAGGUACAGCUUAUUUGAAAAAGGCUACAACCUAAACUCCAGGGUAAGUCACAAACAACUUAACAAAGUGGGCCUAAGAGCAGCCACCUUUCAAAAAGCGUCAAAGCUUUAUUUUUUCAUUAACUAAUACCACCAACCACCACAAACCCGCCCCCAAUAUUGAAUGACUUCAUAAAUUAUGAAGGCCACCAUGCUAGAACUAGUAACAAGAACAAAAAAUUCUCCAAAGUACAAGCAUAAGCCAACAAUGGACAACCCACUGGCAAUUAACGGCAUGAGCCCCAUAUAAUAACACACCAAGAAAAUCCUAUAAAUUAAACCGUUAACCUUACACUAGUGUACUCCAGGAAAGAUUAAAAGGGGGAGAAGGAACUCGGCAAAUUUUAGCCCCGCCUGUUUACCAAAAACAUCGCCUCUUGUAUAACCAUAAGAGGUCCAGCCUGCCCAGUGACCUGAUUCAACGGCCGCGUGAUUUUAAGCGCGCAAAGGUAGCAUAAUCACUUGUCCUUUAAAUAGGGACUCGUAUCAACGGCACCACGAGAGCUAUACUGUCUCCUCCCCUCAAUCAGUGAAACUAAUCUCCCUGUGAAAAAGCAGGGAUAAGACUAUAAGACGAGAAGACCCCAUGGAGCUUAAAACACAGCGACAAUCUAAAUACCACAGACCCAUACAAUUUUAAACCCUGUUUGCUAGUUUUAGGUUGGGGCGACCGCGGAGUAAAACAAAGCCUCCACAGCGAAAGGGGCUACACCCUUACCCAAGAAUUACACUUCUAAGAAUCAAUACUAUGACGCUCAAUGACCCGACCAUCGAUCAACGAACCAAGUUACCCUGGGGAUAACAGCGCAAUCUACUUCUAGAGCUCGUAUCGACAAGUAGGCUUACGACCUCGAUGUUGGAUCAGGGUACCCCAGUGGCGCAGUCGCUACUAACGGUUUGUUUGUUCAACAAUUAAAACC